rnacentral:lncRNA from 1 species
UAUGUCUUGUUAUUCUCGUUGCUUCUAGAAUACUUCCUCAGUCUUUCUUGGAAUUUAACAUUUUUGAAGGUUACAGGCUAGUUAUUUUAAAGACUGGCCUUCAAUCUGAGCUUGCUAGGUGUUUCCUCUGAUUAGAUUCAGGUUAUGCAUCUUUAGCAGGAAUGUCACAGAGGAAGUAAUGCUGUGUUUUUCUCAUUGCACCUGAUCACAUGGUACAUGAUUCUGAUUUGUCCCAUUUCUGACAUUGUUCAUUUUG